rnacentral:lncRNA from 1 species
GCCGGGUCGGGGGCGUCUGAAUGGGGUAACCCUGACAGGUACCUCCGCGGCCCGCUGAGCUGGCGUGUUGUCGCCCGGGAUUGAGCUCGUGUGCUCAUCUCUGAGAUAUGGGAGGCGGCGUGAGAACCGUUAGCUUCGAGGAACCCGUCGUCUCUUAGCCUGGAGUCCCACAUGUCCUGGAGCGGGGCCGCGGGAGGCCCCGUAGGGGCUCGGUUGCUUUCUUUGUGCACCGUAUCCCUGCGGCUCCUCAUUCAAAGGUUGCCUUCUCCAGACUGGCCCGGGAGAACCGCACGUGCGUGUAGAUCACAUGCGAGGGGAACCCGCUAGUUCUUGCUUCUGGCGGGGGCAGACUGGUCAGCCUGUGCCACGGAAGCAGCCUCGUCCCAAAUCUCGAUUGUGGGUUGGAGCCUCUCUUUACUUCGAAGAUUCAGUUUCAGUUAUCCACCGCCAGAAAGCAGAUGAUUCUCCUUCUGACCUGUCAGAAAGUCAGUGGUAGCCUAAGGCCAAGUCAUAGUCUGUCCAUCCUUCACUUUACUUCUCAUCAUGAAGGCAUUUUAUCAUCUUACAUCAUCACAAGAAGGAUGUGCGUCUCUCCUGGUUUUGUGGAGUUGCCUCACAGCAUGGCCCCCAAACGCCAGUCUUCACUCCUGCCUCAAAAGAAGAAACCAAGACUCUCCUGCCCCCAAGCGGGGGGAGACGUUGACCUCUCAGCACUUGCCAAAGGAAUAAAAAGAACAGCAAGAAGCAAUUGAAUAUAUUGAUGAAGUACACAAUGAAAUAAACAGACUUAAUGAACAAGCCA